GAAGGACAGAUGGACAGACGGAUGGAAUUUAUUAGGGGAAUUGGCUCAUUCAAUUAUGGAGGUUGAAAAGUCCCCACAAUAGUCUAUUUGCAAGCUGGAUACCCUGGGAUGCCAGUAGUAUGGCUCAGUGGAAGUCUGAAGGCCUGAGGACAAGGGGAACCAAAGGAGGAAAAUGGGUUGCAGAAAACGAAGACAAAACAGUCGAAUAGAGCAAAGUGUUU
rnacentral:lncRNA from 10 species